rnacentral:rRNA from 1 species
CACGUAGGGCGCAAGCGUUGUCCGGAAUUAUUGGGCGUAAAGAGCUCGUAGGCGGUCUGUUGCGUCCGCUGUGAAAACUCGGGGCUUAACCCCGAGCCUGCAGUGGAUACGGGCAGACUAGAGGUAGGUAGGGGAGAAUGGAAUUCCCGGUGUAGCGGUGAAAUGCGCAGAUAUCGGGAGGAACACCGGUGGCGAAGGCGGGUCUCUGGGCCGAUACUGACGCUGAGGAGCGAAAGCCAGGGGAGCGAACGGG